UACGGAGGGUGCGAGCGUUGUCCGGAAUCAUUGGGCGUAAAGGGCGCGUAGGUGGCGGGACAAGCGUGCGGUGAAAGCUCGGGGCUCAACCCCGCGUCGGCCGUGCGAACUGUUUUGCUUGAGCACUGUAGAGGCAGGCGGAAUUCCGGGUGUAGCGGUGGAAUGCGCAGAUAUCAGGAGGAACACCGGUGGCGAAGGCGGGUCUCUGGGCCGAUACUGACGCUGAGGAGCGAAAGCGUGGGGAGCAAACAGG
rnacentral:rRNA from 1 species